AACUGAUUUAGUGUUCUUUUUUAAUGGGAUAUGUAUAAAAUUAUAAAAAAUAUUGAAAUUUUGGUUUAAUAACUAGUUUUAUUUAAUACGAAUUAUAAUGGUAAAUUAAAAAAUUUAGGUGAACAGGGAUUAGAUACCCCUUUACAGAUUUAUAUAAUUUUUUGUUCUCAGUAUAAACUGAAAGAAAUUGGCAGUUAAUUAUUUCUCUCUAGGGGAUUGUGUUUUUUAAAUAGAUGGUCCGCUUAUUGAUUUUCCUUUAUGAUUGUUGGUGUAUAUCCGGUUUGGAUAAAAAAUUUUUGUUUUUUAUUUAAAGUAUGUUUAAACCCAGGUCAAUAUGCUGCUGGUAUGAAGGUAAGUUAUGCAAUACAUUUUAAAAGUUUUAAAUUUAAUUUUAAAAUAUUAAGGACUUAGUAGUAAUAUAAAAUUGAAAUGUUUGUGUGAAGUUGAGUUUAGUUAAGGUACACAUCGCCC
rnacentral:rRNA from 1 species